ensembl:snoRNA
AUCCUUUUGUAGUUCAUAAGCGUGAUGAUUGGGUGUUCACGCUGUUGUGUGACAUGUGCCUCCCUCAAACCUUGUUACGAUCUGGGCACAUUACCCGUCUGACG